rnacentral:ncRNA from 1 species
GAGAGCCGUGUGCAGUGAAAGUUGCACGCACGGUUCGGAGGGGGGGUGUUGGAAAAGCAGGUAAUGCUGCUCGUUGGCUCCCUACCCUAC